rnacentral:rRNA from 1 species
UUUAGCAAGAACCCCUGAGCAAAGAGAACUUCAGUUCAGCGCCCCGAAACUAGACGAGCUACUUCAAGACAGCCUAAACCCCCAGUAGGGCACACCCGUCUCUGUUGCAAAAGAGUGGGAAGAUCUUCAAGUAGAGGUGACAAGCCUACCGAGCCUAGUUUUAGCUGGUUGUCUGAGAAGUGAAUAUAAGUUCAGCCUUCUAAUUUCCCCGGUCAGGAGCACCCCUGCCCCAAGGACCCUCGGUAUAUUAGAAGAGUUAGUCAAGCGGGGUACAGCCCGCCUGAAAAAGGACACAACCUCCACGGAAGACUAAAGAUCAAAUCAACUAAGGAACUUUGUUUUAGUGGGCCCAAAAGCAGCCACCUAAGAAGAAAGCGUUACAGCUCCGACAUCAUUCCCCCCCCCUUCAAUACCGAAGCCCUCUCUUUAAUCCCCCUCACUAUCAGACCCUCCCACCAACCGUGGGAAAGAUUAUGCUAAAAUGAGUAAUAAGAGGGCACGUCCCUCUCCCCCACACGUGUAUACGUCGGAACGGACUCACCGCCGACAACUAACGACCCCUCCAGAGGGCAGUGUACCACCACACAGACACCAGGAAAACCCAACACAUUAAGCUCGUUACCCCAACACAGGUGUGUACCCCCGGAAAGACUAAAAUAAAGGGAAGGAACUCGGCAAACACAAGCCUCGCCUGUUUACCAAAAACAUCGCCUCUUGCAAAAUUAACGAAUAAGAGGUCCCGCCUGCCCAGUGAAUUUGUUAAACGGCCGCGGUAUUCUGACCGUGCAAAGGUAGCGCAAUAAAUUGUCUCUUAAUUGGAGACGAGUAUGAAUGGCAUCACGAGGGCUUAGCUGUCUCCCCUCUACAGUCAAUGAAAUUGAUCUCCCCGUGCAGAAGCGGGGAUACGCUCGUAAGACGAGAAGACCCUAUGGAGCUUUAGACACGAAAGCAGCCCACGUCAAACACCCCCUAAAGGAAUAUAAACAAAAUGGCCCCUGCUCCUAUGUCUUCGGUUGGGACGACCACGGAGAAAAACAAAACCUCCACAUGGACGAGGCCACUCGGCCUUAAAACACAGACCCACAGGUCCAAUCAACAGUACAUCUGACCACUAAAGAACCGGCAUACGCCGAUCAAUGGACCAAGUUACCCUAGGGAUAACAGCGCAAUCCCCUCAAAGAGACCUUAUCGACGAGAGGGUUUACGACCUCGAUGUUGGAUCAGGACAUCCUAAUGGUGCAGCCGCUAUUAAGG